UACAGAGGGGGCAAGCGUUGUUCGGAAUCACUGGGCGUAAAGCGCACGUAGGCGGACUCUUAAGUCGGUGGUGAAAUCCUGGAGCUCAACUCCAGAACUGCCUUCGAUACUGAGAGUCUCGAGUCCGGGAGAGGUGAGUGGAACUGCGAGUGUAGAGGUGAAAUUCGUAGAUAUUCGCAAGAACACCAGUGGCGAAGGCGGCUCACUGGCCCGGUACUGACGCUGAGGUGCGAAAGCGUGGGGAGCAAACAGG
rnacentral:rRNA from 1 species